UCAUCUUUUUCUAUUUUCAAAGUGCACGUGCAUGCACACGCCCACGCGCAGUCACGACAUUUACCUGUAACGGGCACGUGGGUGGAAGGGCUUCCUGCUGUCAGUGGCGAGGAUGACGGUCAACGCCACAGCAUCCGCGAGAUUUCAUGCAUAAGGAGGCAACUCGCAAACCUCUCAGAGAGAAAAAGAGAGAUACCCGGAGUUUCCGUCACAAGCCGUUAGCACGUGAACGUUGAAUCAGCUCAACCGUGACGCUCGUGACGUGGAGGAUACGCCGUCUUGACGAGCGACUUGAUUGCUCGUACAAUCGUUCGUUCCACACGUUGCUUUCAACUACCCGAGGUGACAGCCUAUAAUAGAUUAGAAGACGGAAGCGAAGUAAUCUGAGCAUUUCAAAACACCUACCGACCUGCUCAGGUGCAUGAAGGUGCGAACAGAAAUUUCGUAGCUGUGCCUCCUGACAAUAAGUGUGAGUAGACAGGCUUGUGGUACACACCUGUGGGCUUACCAUCGGAGGUCAAGCAGAACGCUCCUAGCCACCUCCGCUCGUUUUCUUCUGUACUUUCUUUUAAACUAAGUCUUCAAGAGCAGCAAAUGUAUCGCGGUAGAGGAAGAACGAGGUUGGAAAUUUGAGUAAAUUAUAAUUAUUUCCAAAAUGUUUGUAGAAAGGAGUCAUUGUUUGGUUAUUAUCCAUAUGAUUCAUUAUUAUGUAUCAUUCCUUCUCAAUUGAUCUCUCUCUCUCCCCCACACACACACCGUCUCACCCACACACCCAUCCACCCACACAUUCUACAUUCGCUACUACAUAUCCACCUACCCCUACCCUCCCACCUCUCUACCCAUCCACCUACCCCCGUAACCAUCAACUCACAUAACCACCCACACAAUUUUCUCUUUUCACAGGCUCAGCGACACACUAUCCACGCACUUACCCACCCACUUAUAUAAGCCCACUCACUGCAUGUUUGUCAAAGACUAGUGACUACAAGACCAAAUAAGACAUUUGUUUCGUCACAAACGCUUGAUUCUAGUCAUGUACAUAACAACAACAAGGAUAACAAUAACAAAAUACCAACGAAUAACAACGCUGAGGUGCAAGUGUAGUUUGAUCUGAACAUUUUCAAUUUAUUUUCUGAUUUCUGCACGCUCGGGUACUUGCGACUUGUUUGCCUGAUUUUCUGUGAUGCCGUGAGCUCGAAAUAUUUCUUCCUCUUUCUCUUAGCAGCCAGGGCUGCCUUAUAAACUACAGUCAUUCGUUCAUUUUGUUGUUGUUGUUGUUGUUGUUGUUGUUCUAGUGAUCUAGCUGGCCGUACUAUUGAUUAAAAAUUUUUUCUCUAUAAAUCUCGUAUCAUACUAUGCUAGACACACUAAACUCACCCAAAUGACACUAAAUACCAUGGUUACCAGAGUCGUACUCGCUAACAAACGGGUACAACAGGAUUUUCAUACCUUGAACUCUCACGAUGUUAAAAAAAAAAAAAAAAAAAAAAAAAAAAAAAAAAAAAUACAAGAAAAUAGAGGUUUCUAAUAACAAGAAGGUUGGAAGUCGCCUCCUAUUAGACUCUCAUUAAACACCAGCUCCACUCUGCUGUUCCGUCGUUGCCAGCUGAUUCUGUCAUUUCAGUCUGUGUAGACGAAGCUGUAGUCACCAGCGGCGAGGUUGUUUACACAAGACAUAAAAAAUGGAAAAAAAAAAAGAAUAAUUCACAACA